ACAGAGGGUGCUAGCGUUGUUCGGAAUUACUGGGCGUAAAGGGCGCGUAGGCGGCUCGUUUAGUCGGGUGUGAAAUCCCGGGGCUCAACCCCGGAACUGCAUUCGAUACUGGCGGGCUAGUGACCGGAAGAGGUGGGUGGAAUACCCAGUGUAGAGGUGAAAUUCGUAGAUAUUGGGUGGAACACCAAUUGCGAAGGCAGCUCGCUGGGACGUAACUGACGCUGAGACGCGAAAGCGUGGGGAGCAAACAGGA
rnacentral:rRNA from 1 species